rnacentral:tRNA from 1 species
GCUGGCGUAGCUCAGUCGGUAGAGCAUCUGAUUUGUAAUCAGAGGGUCGGGGGUUCAAAUCCCUUCGUCAGCU